GGGGGCUGCCUCGCGUUUGUUUUAGCCCGGCGCCAGGUUUUAGGCAGCCACCAGAGGCGGGGCAUAAGCGCUAAAGCAACAAGACAAUAGAAGCCUACAUCUUGCCCGAGAUAAUUAGCUUACAUGCUGAUGACAAGGUCGUGGCGAUCCGCAGCGCCCUCUACUGGUAAUUAGUAGAAAUGCAUCACUACAGCAUCCUGGGGAAGCUCUGCCACUAACUGGGUCUUGGAAAGAAAACCUGAAUUUCCUUUUUAGUGUUCUGGAGGUGGAGAGUCCAAGAUGAAGAUUCAGCAGGAUUCAUUGUCUGUUGAGGACUCCCUGGGUUUGUAGACAACCGCGUUCUCUACAGUGAAGAAAGAUACAUAAUUCGAUUUUUGAGAGGCCAGAAGAGGGUGUCAGAUGUCUUGGGACUGGAGUUUCAGACAGUUGUGAGCCGCCAUAUGAAUUCUGGGAAUUGAACCUGGGACCUCUGGAAGAAGAGCCAAUGCUUUUAACCGCUGAGCCCUCUCUCUAGUGCCAGCAUUCCAUUUUUAGAGGCAUACCAAAUUGUGUUUGUUCAUUUCUGAGUGGAAGGCAAGGAGCCAGACGUCUGGAAUGACUGUGCCAGUGGGAUCACAGGCUCUUCACAGGUGCUGUGGUGUUCCCUUCUCUGCCCCCUACCAGCUUUGGAUGCCCAAUGGCUUGUGACUUCAUUUCUCCAAUUUGCCUCCAGUUUCAUGUAAUCUCAUGUACGUGUUUCUGUGCUUCUCUCUUACAAAGAUGCUCUUGAUGGGUAUUGAGAGCCCCCUGGAAAAGUAGGGAAGUCACCUCAGUUCAAGAUCCUUCCUUUUAUCUGUAAAAGUCCUUUUUCUAAAUACUCUUUUUUCGGGGGAAAGAUUCCAGGGUCAGGGUGCCCCUGAACCCUAGUUGGCUGGGGUCCCUCUCACCACAUGGUUCACGGGACAGGAGGAUUUCUCUCUUUAUAACUACUCUUAAGAUAACAUGCCUAGGUUCUGGUGAUUGGCUAGGAUCUUUCUUGAGCUCACAAGCGGGCCUACUAAGAGGCCUUUUCCCUGGUCUUUCUUUUCUUUCUUCAAGACAGAAUCUCACUAAGUAGUCGCAGCUGUCUUCAAACCUGGGAUGCUCGUGAGUGCAGGGUUGUAGGCAGGUGUCACCAUGUGACAUUUUCAUCUCUUCUGCACCAGCAGCUAGUGGCACAGUUUUUCCUUUCAGCACAGCGUUGGCUGCAUCCCAAACUUUUUUAUAUGCUGUUUUUCUCUACAAAUUAAAAAAUAAACUAAGAACUUUAAUCUUGAGAAAUGUAUUUUAAGGUACUAAAGUGUCUCCCAUUCUGUAACUCCGCCCUAAAAUUGAUACUCAGAACACUUGGAGUGUUUGAAAGAUAUCUGAACAAAUAAAUGAACACAUGAAUGAAUGAAGGAAUGAAUGAAUACAUGAAUGAAUUAAUCUGCAAUCAUUCAGUAUAGAAUAUGUUGGGUGGAAGGGUAAGGGAAUUGAUCGAAACACAUUGCAUACAUGUAUUAAGUUCUCAACCAAUAAAUAAAAAUGUUUUUAAAAACAAUUACUGUUGGGACCCAUAAAAA